CCUGAGUGUAUACACACAGGCGGUGUCUUAUUUCAGGGCCGAGGCUUUACCUCCUUCCACGUCUUCCAUUUCCAGGGUGAAAAAUGGCAGAAUGGCAUGACAAAGUUGUCCGAUACUAAAGAAGGGCAUCAGUGCGCCGUUUGGUGGCUUUUAGCAUUUUUUUGUUGUUUUUACUCUCCCACAUUUUUUGGCCACGUUCAAUCUGACCACAGCUCAACACAAAAAGGCAGAAACAAUGCGGGGUCGUCUGACGGGCCUCGUGGAUGUGUUACGUCGGCUGGACUUCCUGGAUCCUAUUUCACGUCUCAACAUAUGUGAAGCAAACAGGAACCCCCCAGCGACGCGGCCCCUCGCUCUGAUUCCGCCGCUCUUCCGUCGGAUCGCCUCCCGUUGACGUGUCGUGAUCGUCAGUAGACGAACCAUCUGUUGUAUGUUGUCCACGACGAUGUGUCGCUUCACAUUUGCUGCCUCUUCACACGUGAAGCUUUCGCCGGCGCAAAGCAUUCUGGGAGUGACCAGGCGGCCGUAGGACUGGACGCAUUCUUCCUCACUGACCAGGCGAACGUCCACCUUCUGGAGCACGUUACUGGCCCUGCCUGGGAGAGGUGAGAGGGGGGAAAGGUCAGUCAGCGGAAGGACACUAGAAUCAUCCUCUCUCCAUCCUUUAUUCAUCCAGUAGAGACAAAGCGUCCACAACAGUAUGUUUUCCUGAUGAAGCCUUAAGUCUUUCAAAACAAUCUAUGAUGCAAUUCUGCCACCCAAAGUGGGGUUUUUUUUUAUUUUUCAAAGACCGCACAAGUCAAACGAGAUCACUUCCUGUGAAAAUAAUGUGUUACAUUGCACAACACCAUAGCCAGUGGAAAACAAGUGUCAUGCUCAUCCUGUCACAGGUAUAAAACAACUUUACAGCAAAACCGAAAUAUCUGCGUGGACGCCAGCCGUCAUAAAUUAAAACAUUCAACUCCAAAAUCACCAAAUAAAAGUCCACUUUGAUAUUGGGAAGGUUUAUUUUAAAGUGUCUCUUUACGAGGCACCAGGACCAUGCAUAUACCAGACGCCUCGGGUUGAAUGGAAAUUAUUAUAAUGCAGGAUUUAAACACACACACACACACACACACACACUCGCAUUGCACGUCCUUGCAAAAACAGUUUGGGGAUUUGUUGAAGUUAUUACAGUUAUCAGUGAAAUAUAGCAUUUUCAAAACUUGAAGCGCAAAUUAAUUUGACUAAAGUGCGUGAGUUGUAACAAACUUACGUGACCGUGCUGUUCAGAUUUAGCCUUGUGUUUCCUAAGUUAACAUAUCAUUUAAAACACGGUUGCACUACACACACUUAGUUUUUGUGUGCUGCAAAAUGUUGGUAUACUCAUUUAAAAAAUAUAUAUCUGACCUGAUUAAAAUGCUGUAUAGUACGACAGAGUUUUAGGGCCACACUGAGAGAGAGUAAAUGCAGACUUUGAGAAUAAAGUCUUAAAUUUAUUUGAAUAAAGUCAAAAUAUUACGAGAAUAAAGUCGAAUUAUUACAAGAAAAAAAUGUUAGAAUAUUGCAAGAAAAAAGUCAUAAUAGGUUUGUUUUUUUUCGUAAAAUUUCCGACUUUAUUCUUGAAGUCUCAUUUAAAUUUUUCCCUCAAUGUGGGCCUAAUUCUGCCGUAGUAUAGUCAACUUUAUAAUCAUGUUAAACUUUUUGCUCAAAUAACUUAUUGUAUCAUUUUAUUGUUGUAAAUAAAUGAACAAUUUACUAAAUAACAUAGAUUAGUAUGUAUAGCGCAUAAUCAGAUAUUUCUGGAUAAUUCUAAGCAGGAUUGAAACUACUAACUCUGAAACACAUAUAUUAUAUGUAUGUGUAUUUAUAAAUAUAUUCACAUUCAUAUAUACACGUGUGUAUGUAUAUAUACAUAUAUACACAUUCAUAUAUACACGUGUGUAUACAUAUAUAUAUACACAUGCUGAGCCUUAUGACCUGGUGUACAAAGAGAAGGGGAUGGGGCCCAGAACACAGCCCUGAGGGACCCCAGAAGUGAGUUUGCAGGGUUCAGACAUAUUUAUAUAUAACUUGAUUUCUAUGUUAACUUUGGCCAUUGCUAUUACAGGUGUCUUUCUAUUUUUACGUGAUUGAUUGUUUUUGAUCCGCAAUAUAGAAGGUUUCCUUCUAAACAGUUUACAAAUCUUUAGUUUUAGAAGUUGUAAUGAUCUCGUAAAUCACGGGUUAGUCACUAACGUUGCCUCAGUCAAUCAAAACGCGAAGACGAGUCAGAGACACUGUAAUUUUAACACUUAAAAAGUCUAAACCAAUAUGUCACCCUCCCCCUUUUGCCUUCUCACCCCCCUCACGGAGAGCCCCCCAGCCGGUGACCCAGCAGAGCCGGCCCGGCUCCAGCUGGUGGCUGGGUGGGGGCAGGCAGGCGGGCCGAGCGUGUCCCGCCUGCAGCGCGGAGGCGGGUCGCUCCAGCUUCAGGAGGGCCAGGUCGUAGUCGUGGGACUCGUCGUCGUAGUACUGGUGAAGGUGGAUCCGCUGAACUCGGGCCGUCUCGCCUGUGGGGCCGCUGGGGCCGAGGAGGACUUUACCCAGGGACACUGUCCACAUGGACGGGGAGUAGAGACUUCCAGAGCAGGAGGGGGGAAAAAGACGUCAUGUUUCACAGGGGCAAUAAGAAACAGUGAGCGGCGGACACCACCCACUGACUGGAGAUCAGCGACCCCCCGCAGACGUGGCUGCCCCGCACCUGCAGGCUGGCCUGCCACGGCCACUCCCCCUCGGAGGCAUUGGUCCCCCCGACGAUACGACUGGAGUCCUGCCUCAGGCCGCAGUCUGAACACACACACACACACACACAUAAACAAAUAUUAAAAUACACAAUUGCAAAUAUGAACAGAAAUGAUAUGCUAAAUAAUGCACAUAAACUGUCGAUAAUAAUAUAGUUUUAUUAUCAUCAUCACCAUAUUGCAUCAAGCGUGUCUGAUUGUUUCAAAGUAAAAAGAACAAAGACUAAUCGAAUAAUUGUGUGCGUGUGUGUGUGUGCGUGUGUGUGUGUGUGUCAUCUAACCACACAGUUUUUCAUCCGAGGCGUCCGGGCAGUCGACCACAGAGUCGCACUCUGGGUUUGGCUUCUUCAGACACGUUCCAUUAGCACACGCGUAGGUCGUAUCCGUGCACUGCACACCUGGACACACACACACACGGACACACGGACAAAUAUCUAUUGCAAGUUUGUGUGUUUUAUAUGUUUUGUUUGUCAGAAAAAUCCACAGUGCGUUUUAUCUGUAGUGUAAACUUGCUAAAAAAACACGGUUCCAGCUGUAACACGCAGCUGUGUUUGUCCCAGACAGUGUUUUCUUUAGCUGUGACCUCUAGUAAAUAUUCUGUACAGCAGGAUGUGAUAAAGAAUUUAUCAUUAUGUGUGUGUGUGUGUGUGUUACCAUCAGUACAGUUCAUCUCAUCCGUGGCUUCGGGGCAGUCGGGGUGUUUGUCACACACCUUGUCGUAGUCCACACACUGUCCGUCCUCGGGACACCGGUACUGAGCCACACACACUGAAGAGUUAAAAUAGGUGGGGAUCAGAUUGAUCCGAUUACACUUACAGUCUUUAAAUCGAUAGAUCACACAAAGGGAUUGGUUUUGAAGAUAUUGAAUAACUACCACAGUUUCUCUCAUCAAGACCGUUGGGACAGUCCUUGAUUCCAUCACAGGCGGGGACACACAGACCAUUAGCGAUGCACAGGAACCGGCCUGGGCAAGCUACAAAACACACACACACACACAGAAUUUUAAAAAAAAUCGGAACACAAGUGAAGCAUCACUCGGUGGCGCACGAAUCUAAAUGUCUUACGCUCCGACAGGUUGAAGACGCUGUAGCGCAGCUGAAGGCCCGGCCCCGUGAGCGACACCUCCGACGUCAUGACCACAGUCGCCGUCGCGGACAGCACGGCGAGUCGUUCGCUGUGUGGCCGCGAACUCCUGCUGCCGCACAGUCUGCGGAAAGGGACAGGGACGCGGGAGUGUAGAGCUCGUAGUGUCUGUGCUAUACCCAAAGGAUCACGUCACCUCUGUGAACUCAGGACUUCUAGUGGUUCCCAGAGUCUGUAGGAGUUGAAUGACCUUCAGCCACCACAGGCGUCAGGGGGUCAGCGCUAUGUUCCCACAGCCCAAUGGUCCCACAGCCCUAUGUACCCACAUUUCUAAGAAUUUUAAAAAUUAGGGUUAGGGUUAGGGCUACUGGAUAAUAGGUUUGGUGUAACUGGCUACCAAAUCCGGAGAAAGGGGGAUAAAAUCUGAUACAAAUUUAUGAAAAAGGAAAUGUGGGAACAUAGGGCCUAAUUUUGAAAAAAAUCUUAGAAAUGUGGGAACACAGGGCUGUGGGAACAUAGGCACGCUCCCGGCACCAGUACUCGCCUACCGCACUGCGAAUGGCUCUUGCCAUUCCUACAUCCAGAACACGGUCCAACUUUUACACCGCAGCCCGUCCACUACGCGCUGCCAACCCCUCGCUGCGAGGGGUGGGCCGGUUCCACAAUGGCGGAACGAGCUCCACAUUGACACCCUCACCUGUUCAGACUGCACCUCGGUCCAUGAAUGUACUCGCACGAUUCUUGCACUUUUUUGGGUGAUGUCUUCAUGGCUGAAUGUGCGCAGUGCGAGACGCUUUGGGAAGAAGCGUCUGCUAAAUGAAUACAGUGUGAAACUUCAGUUGCAGCAUGUUUCGCGGCAAAGAAAAAUAUCUGUAUUAAAAAAAAAAGCCUCUGUAGAAAGAAAAAUGGCCACCUAUGGGGUGUUGCUGCCUCCUGUUGAUCAGGAAGGAAUAAAACAUCACAUUGAUAGAUUGCCAUUAUGACCCGUGAGUAACCUGUGCAGUAAGUCAUUUCUAUGUCAUUACUACAGUAGUCAUCAUUACCAGCAGUGAAAGAGUGACACACGCACACAAAGUGUGUGUUUUUUAAUUAAAAUGUGGUCCUGGAGACACCUACUCAAGUGAAACUACCACCAUGGAACUUGUCUGUGUGUCUGUAACGCAGGUGGAAAUACAACCAAACGUCAUGAACUGUGCGGGAAAACUCUGACCUGCACCUGCAACGUGUGCUGUUCAACAACAAACGACAGAUGGGUCUACAAAUAUCUUUCCUCGGCAAUUCAUUUUUUGACUAUUCAUCGCUGCCACCUGUUUGGCCCAUAAAAGGAAGUAGGCCUGAGACUAUAUGAAAAACAAAACAAUUUCAUUUGUGUGCUGCCCUUCCAUUUAGACACACAACUAAAAAAGUUAUUAUCUGCAGGUACAGUAUUAACUUGUAUAGAGCCCGACAUAUGUAUUUUCUGCAGAGUUUGUAAUACAGUGUUAAAUGCA